GACGAACGCUUUCUUUUUUCUUAACACAUGCAAGUCGAACGGUAAGGCCCUUUCGGGGGUACACGAGUGGCGAACGGGUGAGUAACACGUGAGUAACCUGCCCUCAUCUCUGGGAUAACAGUCGGAAACGGUUGCUAAUACUGGAUAUGAGCUUGCAAGGCAUCUUGUGGGUUGGAAAGAUUUUUUUUGGUUGGGGAUGGACUCGCGGCCUAUCAGCUUGUUGGUGAGGUAGUGGCUCACCAAGGCUUCGACGGGUAGCCGGCCUGAGAGGGCGACCGGCCACAUUGGGACUGAGAUACGGCCCAAACUCCUACGGGAGGCAGCAGUGGGGAAUAUUGCACAAUGGACGGAAGUCUGAUGCAGCAACGCCGCGUGCGGGAUGACGGCCUUCGGGUUGUAAACCGCUUUCAAUUGUGACGAAGCUUUUUUGUGACGGUAGCAGUAGAAGAAGCACCGGCUAACUACGUG
rnacentral:rRNA from 1 species